UGGGGAAUAUUGCACAAUGGGGGAAACCCUGAUGCAGCAACGCCGCGUGAGUGAUGACGGCCUUCGGGUUGUAAAGCUCUGUCUUCAGGGACGAUAAUGACGGUACCUGAGGAGGAAGCCACGGCUAACUACGUGCCAGCAGCCGCGGUAAUACGUAGGUGGCAAGCGUUGUCCGGAUUUACUGGGCGUAAAGGGAGCGUAGGCGGACUUUUAAGUGAGAUGUGAAAUACCCGGGCUCAACCUGGGUGCUGCAUUUCAAACUGGAAGUCUAGAGUGCAGGAGAGGAGAGUGGAAUUCCUAGUGUAGCGGUGAAAAGCGUAGAGAUUAGGAAGAACACCAGUGGCGAAGGCGACUCUCUGGACUGUAACUGACGCUGAGGCUCGAAAGCGUGGGGAGCAAACA
rnacentral:rRNA from 1 species